AUACGGAGGGUGCAAGCGUUAUUCGGAAUCACUGGGCGUAAAGGACGCGUAGGCGGGUUGGCAAGUCAGAUGUGAAAUCCUACAGCUUAACUGUAGAACUGCAUUUGAAACUGCUAACCUAGAGUAUGGGAGGGGGAGAUGGAAUUAGUGGUGUAGGGGUAAAAUCCGUAGAUAUCACUAGGAAUACCGAAAGCGAAGGCGAUCUCCUGGAACAUAACUGACGCUGAGGCGUGAAAGCGUGGGGAGCAAACAGGAUUAGAAACCCUAGUAGUCC
rnacentral:rRNA from 1 species